rnacentral:rRNA from 1 species
UACGUAGGGGGCGAGCGUUAAUCGGAAUUACUGGGCGUAAAGCGUGCGCAGGCGGUUAUGUAAGACAGAGGUGAAAUCCCCGGGCUCAACCUGGGAACUGCCUUUGUGACUGCAUGACUAGAGUACGGCAGAGGGGGAUGGAAUUCCGCGUGUAGCAGUGAAAUGCGUAGAUAUGCGGAGGAACACCGAUGGCGAAGGUAAUCCCCUGGGCCUGUAAUGACGCUCAUGCACGAAAGCGUGGGGAGCAAACAGG